GCGAUGCAGUCGAGCGGAAACGAGUUAUCUGAACCUUCGGGGGACGAUAACGGCGUCGAGCGGCGGACGGGUGAGUAAUGCCUAGGAAAUUGCCCUGAUGUGGGGGAUAACCAUUGGAAACGAUGGCUAAUACCGCAUGAUGCCUACGGGCCAAAGAGGGGGACCUUCGGGCCUCUCGCGUCAGGAUAUGCCUAGGUGGGAUUAGCUAGUUGGUGAGGUAAGGGCUCACCAAGGCGACGAUCCCUAGCUGGUCUGAGAGGAUGAUCAGCCACACUGGAACUGAGACACGGUCCAGACUCCUACGGGAGGCAGCAGUGGGGAAUAUUGCACAAUGGGCGCAAGCCUGAUGCAGCCAUGCCGCGUGUGUGAAGAAGGCCUUCGGGUUGUAAAGCACUUUCAGUCGUGAGGAAGGUGGUGUAGUUAAUAGCUGCAUUAUUUGACGUUAGCGACAGAAGAAGCACCGGCUAACUCCGUGCCAGCAGCCGCGGUAAUACGGAGGGUGCGAGCGUUAAUCGGAAUUACUGGGCGUAAAGCGCAUGCAGGUGGUUUGUUAAGUCAGAUGUGAAAGCCCGGGGCUCAACCUCGGAAUUGCAUUUGAAACUGGCAGACUAGAGUACUGUAGAGGGGGGUAGAAUUUCAGGUGUAGCGGUGAAAUGCGUAGAGAUCUGAAGGAAUACCGGUGGCGAAGGCGGCCCCCUGGACAGAUACUGACACUCAGAUGCGAAAGCGUGGGGAGCAAACAGGAUUAGAUACCCUGGUAGUCCACGCCGUAAACGAUGUCUACUUGGAGGUUGUGGCCUUGAGCCGUGGCUUUCGGAGCUAACGCGUUAAGUAGACCGCCUGGGGAGUACGGUCGCAAGAUUAAAACUCAAAUGAAUUGACGGGGGCCCGCACAAGCGGUGGAGCAUGUGGUUUAAUUCGAUGCAACGCGAAGAACCUUACCUACUCUUGACAUCCAGAGAACUUUCCAGAGAUGGAUUGGUGCCUUCGGGAACUCUGAGACAGGUGCUGCAUGGCUGUCGUCAGCUCGUGUUGUGAAAUGUUGGGUUAAGUCCCGCAACGAGCGCAACCCUUAUCCUUGUUUGCCAGCGAGUAAUGUCGGGAACUCCAGGGAGACUGCCGGUGAUAAACCGGAGGAAGGUGGGGACGACGUCAAGUCAUCAUGGCCCUUACGAGUAGGGCUACACACGUGCUACAAUGGCGCAUACAGAGGGCGGCCAACUUGCGAAAGUGAGCGAAUCCCAAAAAGUGCGUCGUAGUCCGGAUUGGAGUCUGCAACUCGACUCCAUGAAGUCGGAAUCGCUAGUAAUCGUGGAUCAGAAUGCCACGGUGAAUACGUUCCCGGGCCUUGUACACACCGCCCGUCACACCAUGGGAGUGGGCUGCUAAAAGAAGUACGGUAGUUUAACCU
rnacentral:rRNA from 1 species